rnacentral:rRNA from 1 species
GAUGAACGCUGGCGGCGUGCCUAAUACAUGCAAGUCGAGCGAACGGACGAGAAGCUUGCUUCUCUGAUGUUAGCGGCGGACGGGUGAGUAACACGUGGAUAACCUACCUAUAAGACUGGGAUAACUUCGGGAAACCGGAGCUAAUACCGGAUGAUAUUUUGAACCGCAUGGUUCAAAAGUGAAAGACGGUCUUGCUGUCACUUAUAGAUGGAUCCGCGCUGCAUUAGCUAGUUGGUAAGGUAACGGCUUACCAAGGAAACGAUGCAUAGCCGACCUGAGAGGGUGAUCGGCCACACUGGAACUGAGACACGGUCCAGACUCCUACGGGAGGCAGCAGUAGGGAAUCUUCCGCAAUGGGCGAAAGCCUGACGGAGCAACGCCGCGUGAGUGAUGAAGGUCUUCGGAUCGUAAAACUCUGUUAUUAGGGAAGAACAUAUGUGUAAGUAACUGUGCACAUCUUGACGGUACCUAAUCAGAAAGCCACGGCUAACUACGU